rnacentral:rRNA from 1 species
GAUUAAUUCGAUGCAACGCGAAGAACCUUACCUGGGUUUGACAUGGCCGCAAAACUCGCAGAGAUGUGAGGUCCUUCGGGGGCGGUCACAGGUGGUGCAUGGCUGUCGUCAGCUCGUGUCGUGAGAUGUUGGGUUAAGUCCCGCAACGAGCGCAACCCUCGUUCGAUGUUGCCAGCGCGUUAUGGCGGGGACUCAUCGAAGACUGCCGGGGUCAACUCGGAGGAAGGUGGGG